AUAAUGUAUGACGUUUACAGCAAAAAAAAAAAAAAAAACAAAAAAAAAAAACGCGUGAAAAUCAGUUACUAUAUCAGAGUUACGAUUGAUUAAAUGCGCUGACACCUAAUCGCGCCUGCUGAACAGAUUACACUGAGUGGAACGGGUGACCGCCCCAAGAUGGCCGCCCCAAUUCUCAUCAGCGCCAACAGGCAGCAGCGUUCGACGCGGCGUCUACUCUUUAUAUGUCUAUGAACAAGACGGAUAAGGCGGAUUUUCCUCUUUGUGCACUUUCGGUCUGAACACAUAACUUUUAGAAAUGUGGUGUUUUCUAUGACAGCAGUAGCACAACAAUGGUGAGUAACAGUUUUUUUUUUUAUAUUUCAGGAUUUGAAGCCUGUGUGAGGUGCAGUGCUUAUAUGAGAGCGGAGAGAAGCAGAGCCACUGAGAGAGAGAGUAAGAGGAGAAGCAUAUGGACUGGGGUCAGGAGUGCCAUGGGUGCCGUACCGUCAGGAGGAGACAGCGGUUCUCCUUCAGAGCGCCCAGGAAGCCCAGGAAGGAAACGCACGUGAUGAUGAUGCCGCUGACCAGCAGCAUGUUGGCCGAGUUGAAGCUCGCCAUGGUCGGAGUGAGCUCGGUCAUUCUGAAGUUCACCAUCAUGUAUACACCGAAGCUCAGCACGGCCACCCCACACAU